GCAGCAUGAUCUAGCUUGCUAGAUUGAUGGCGAGUGGCGAACGGGUGAGUAAUACAUCGGAACGUGCCCUGUAGUGGGGGAUAACUAGUCGAAAGAUUAGCUAAUACCGCAUACGACCUGAGGGUGAAAGUGGGGGACCGCAAGGCCUCAUGCUAUAGGAGCGGCCGAUGUCUGAUUAGCUAGUUGGUGGGGUAAAGGCCCACCAAGGCGACGAUCAGUAGCUGGUCUGAGAGGACGAUCAGCCACACUGGGACUGAGACACGGCCCAGACUCCUACGGGAGGCAGCAGUGGGGAAUUUUGGACAAUGGGGGCAACCCUGAUCCAGCAAUGCCGCGUGUGUGAAGAAGGCCUUCGGGUUGUAAAGCACUUUUGUCCGGAAAGAAAUCGCACUUACUAAUAUUAGGUGUGGAUGACGGUACCGGAAGAAUAAGGACCGGCUAACUACGUGCCAGCAGCCGCGGUAAUACGUAGGGUCCAAGCGUUAAUCGGAAUUACUGGGCGUAAAGCGUGCGCAGGCGGUUGUGCAAGACCGAUGUGAAAUCCCCGGGCUUAACCUGGGAAUUGCAUUGGUGACUGCACGGCUAGAGUGUGUCAGAGGGGGGUAGAAUUCCACGUGUAGCAGUGAAAUGCGUAGAGAUGUGGAGGAAUACCGAUGGCGAAGGCAGCCCCCUGGGAUAACACUGACGCUCAUGCACGAAAGCGUGGGGAGCAAACAGGAUUAGAUACCCUGGUAGUCCACGCCCUAAACGAUGUCAACUAGUUGUUGGGGAUUCAUUUCCUUAGUAACGUAGCUAACGCGUGAAGUUGACCGCCUGGGGAGUACGGUCGCAAGAUUAAAACUCAAAGGAAUUGACGGGGACCCGCACAAGCGGUGGAUGAUGUGGAUUAAUUCGAUGCAACGCGAAAAAACCUUACCUACCCUUGACAUGCCACUAACGAAGCAGAGAUGCAUUAAGGUGCUCGAAAGAGAAAGUGGA
rnacentral:rRNA from 1 species